CUACUCUGAGAUAGAAAACUCUGAGUUUUCGGUUUCACAACGGCUGAUAUGAGUUGGUUUAAUUAACUCGGAGUAGUUUGACCCGGAGUUACGCGCGUGCACCGCAACUCUGAAAAGACAGCAUCAAUGGAACCCCGAUUCGACGAGUCACCAUGGAAACGGGGAAGCGAAAGGCUGCGUUUUUGAACUGGAAGUUUUUAACGCGCUCAUAUGGCGAGUUUGAACACGUUUUUAGAAAGAAGUGCAACACCGCUGCAGCUGUAAAAGAGAGAGAGACGGCGUGGAGAACAGCCCGGAUCAAUGCAGCAUGGCUGGACAGCAGCAGGAUGGUUCCUCAGCUUCCACUGCACAGACUGACACAGUGAGAUGGAUGUUCAGGAAACACCAGAGCUUCAUUCUGUGGAAUUCAUGUGCAACUGUAGAAUUGAAUGUCCUCUAUGUAUUCCCAGUUAUCAGUAAAACAGAUUUACAAACUGCAUUUGCUGAGAAGAAUCCAAAAACAGAUUAGGAGGGCAGAUCUGGAAACUGAAAUACUGGAGCACAAGUUAGAGGUGGUGAUGGUCACAGGUGAAUUAUGUUAACUACUGGAACAUGAACUGAACUAUCUUUUAUUUGUAGGAAAUAAAGAAGAGCAAAUGAAA